rnacentral:ncRNA from 2 species
UUCUUAUUGUGAGCAGGUGGAGGGAACUAGCCCGAUGAAGCCCGGCAACCGACUGUAAUACCAUUGUAAAAUGGGGCGAAUAUGUUCGCCGGAUGAAAAAUCCGCAAGGCACGGUGCUAAUUCUUGCAGCUUUUUGCUGAAAGAUAAGAA